CCUACGGGUGGCAGCAGUGGGGAAUAUUGGACAAUGGGGGGAACCCUGAUCCAGCCAUGCCGCGUGUGUGAAGAAGGCCCUCGGGUUGUAAAGCACUUUCAGUGAGGAAGAACGCCUGGUGGUUAAUACCCAUCAGGAAAGACAUCACUCACAGAAGAAGCACCGGCUAACUCCGUGCCAGCAGCCGCGGUAAUACGGGGGGUGCGAGCGUUAAUCGGAAUUACUGGGCGUAAAGCGCGCGUAGGUGGCUUGAUAAGCCGGUUGUGAAAGCCCCGGGCUCAACCUGGGAACGGCAUCCGGAACUGUCAAGCUAGAGUGCAGGAGAGGAAGGUAGAAUUCCCGGUGUAGCGGUGAAAUGCGUAGAGAUCGGGAGGAAUACCAGUGGCGAAGGCGGCCUUCUGGACUGACACUGACACUGAGGUGCGAAAGCGUGGGUAGCAAACAGGAUUAGAUACCCUAGUAGUC
rnacentral:rRNA from 1 species